GAAGUCACUAAUUCUACAAAAGCUUGUCUGAAAGAUGAAAGCACUCGAGAACACCUCUGCCUACUACACCUACCUCCUCCUCCUCCUCAAGAGUACCCUCUACUUCGCCACCGUCCUCUCCUGUCUGUUUAGGAGAACAGUCUGCAGCAGUGGGAAGACCUCCUGACAGAUGAUGCCACCAAGGGCUCAACUUCGCUUCAGCAUCAUUGUCUCUACAAGUGUCUGCUGAGGAUCUAGCAGCACUUCCUUUCUGGGUUUGGCUUCCUUCAGAGAAUGUGUACAUCUUUGUAUUAGGUCAACAUUGUGUAGGUUUUUUCAAACCACUGGGCAAACAGACCCUUGCACUGCAUAACAAGGAAUUCUGCCAUGACUCGGGGCAGGGCUGAGGGCUGGUCCCCGGGAGCCUUUCCCACCACUGUCCCUCAGUGUCAUCAGCUCCUCCAGCUGCCUGAGUCCUCUUGCCUCGUGAGCACACACAGCACAGCACACAGCUCCCCGUCUCC
rnacentral:lncRNA from 1 species